GACGAACGCUGGCGGCGUGCCUAAUACAUGCAAGUAGAACGCACAGUUUAUACCGUAGCUUGCUACACCGUAAACUGUGAGUUGCGAACGGGUGAGUAACGCGUAGGUAACCUGCCUGGUAGCGGGGGAUAACUAUUGGAAACGAUAGCUAAUACCGCAUAAUAUUGAUUAUUGCAUGAUAAUUGAUUGAAAGAUGCUAUUGCAUCACUACCAGAUGGACCUGCGUUGUAUUAGCUAGUAGGUGAGGUAACGGCUCACCUAGGCGACGAUACAUAGCCGACCUGAGAGGGUGAUCGGCCACACUGGGACUGAGACACGGCCCAGACUCCUACGGGAGGCAGCAGUAGGGAAUCUUCGGCAAUGGACGAAAGUCUGACCGAGCAACGCCGCGUGAGUGAAGAAGGUUUUCGGAUCGUAAAGCUCUGUUGUAAGAGAAGAACGGGUGUGAGAGUGGAAAGUUCACACUGUGACGGUAUCUUACCAGAAAGGGACGGCUAACUACGUG
rnacentral:rRNA from 1 species